ACUCUCAGCAACGGAUAUCUUGGCUCUUGCCACGAUGAAGAACGCAGCGAAAUGCGAUACGUGAUGUGAAUUGCAGANNUNCGUGAAUCAUCGAAUCUUUGAACGCACAUUGCGCCC
rnacentral:rRNA from 1 species